rnacentral:tRNA from 1 species
GCGACGGUAGCUCAGUUGGAUAGAGCAGCGGCCUUCUAAGCCGCAGGCCACUGGUUCGAACCCAGUCCGUCGCG